CCAGGCUUUUGGGGAGAACACAUUCAACUAUUUCUCAGAUGUAUCAUAUAUGUAGAGAUGGGCGGGAGUGGGGGAUCUUCAGGCAUUAGAUCAUCUGGUUUAUUCCAACACUGGGAAGUUGUUCCCAGUUGGAGAUCUCAAGAGUUGUGAAUGGCUGCUAACCUGAGGAACUUCACAUCUGUUACUUGAGCCCAGUUCUUGAGCAGCAAGACCUACUGAUGGAACAGAUUUGGACGAAGAAAGUGUAGGUUUUACAAAUGGAAAUGGCCUUGUGUGGAUACCGACCUGGGUCUGUGGACAUUAAAAGCUGUUUGACACGCACCGAUCUUUUACUGAUCUGGAGGCCAGAAGUCUGAAAUCAAUGUGUUGGAAGUACUGGAUCCUUCUUGAGGUUCUGAGGCGAUAUCCAUCCCACGCUUUUCUCCUAGCUUCUAGCAGCUGCCAGCAAUCCUUGGCAUUCCUUGGCCUAUACAAAUCACGUCAAUGUCUACCUUUGUCUUCACAUCACCUUCUCUUCUGUGUGUCUGUGUCUUAUAAGAACAUUUGUCAUUGGCUUUAGGACCCACUGGUAAUCCAGGAUCAUCUCAAGAUCUUGAUCUUAAGUAAUUAUAACUGCCAACACUCUUUGCAAAUAAGGCCACAUUCAUAGGUUCCACGUGGACUUAUCCUUCAAUUUCCACUCCACCCACUACAAUAGGCUCAGAGUUAUACUAAUGUGGAAUGGAAUCCUAAUUGAUAUACUAACUACUCAAUUUGUAUGCUUCGUGCCUUCACAUCCUCACUUGUAAAAUGGGGCUAUGAUAAUAUCUUUACAAGAUUAUCAUGACCUUAAAACAGAUCAUAAACAGUGAGUGCCUAUCAUGCAGUAGGCACUCAAUACACUUACUUUUUUAAAGUAAAUUAUGGCUUUGGCACGUUUCAUAUUCAUGAAAAUGAAAGUCAACCGAAAGGAAGAAAUACUCAGAUUUAGUGGAAACCACUCAGGACUGGGUCUCAGAAAUUAUUUACCAAAUUAUGCCACUACUGGAUUUAUUCUAAUACUUUUGAACAGUCCUCUUGCCCCACUUGAGUACAGAUCUUACUCUCUCCAUUUGUAAAUUGUAUAGAUUGAACUAGAUAACCUUUGAUUUCUUCUCCUUUGACAAUCUGGAGUUUUGAAAGUUUACCAUUAAAGAUUGUCCUGUGAGCAAUUUGGUGAAAAACACCCCAAAACUCCUGAAAGUCCAACAAGAAAGAAAAUACUUAGGCACUGUUUUAUACUUAACACAGAUAGAAAGAUUUGUGCUGGCUGAAAUAUAACUUUGUGGCGGGUGUGUGGGUGGCUCAGUUGAGCAUUUGAUUCUUGGUUUUGGCUCAGGUCAUGAUCUCAGAGUCAUGAGAUUAAGCCCUGCAUUGGGUUCUGUGCUCAGCAGGGAGUCUGCUUGAG